rnacentral:rRNA from 1 species
AGCGAACGCUGGCGGCAGGCCUAACACAUGCAAGUCGAACGAAGCCUUCGGGCUUAGUGGCGGACGGGUGAGUAGCACGUGGGAACGUACCUUUUGGUUCGGAACAACUCAGGGAAACUUGAGCUAAUACCGGAUGAGCCCUUAGGGGGAAAGAUUUAUCGCCGAAAGAGCGGCCCGCGUUAGAUUAGCUAGUUGGUGAGGUAAAGGCUCACCAAGGCAACGAUCUAUAGCUGGUCUGAGAGGAUGAUCAGCCACACUGGGACUGAGACACGGCCCAGACUCCUACGGGAGGCAGCAGUGGGGAAUCUUGCGAAAUGGGCGAAAGCCUGACGCAGCCAUGCCGCGUGAAUGAUGAAGGUCUUAGGAUUGUAAAAUUCUUUUACCAGGGACGAUAAUGACGGUACCUGGAGAAAAAGCCCCGGCUAACUUCGUGCCAGCAGCCGCCGUAACAC